rnacentral:rRNA from 1 species
CCUACGGGUGGCAGCAGUAGGGAAUAUUGCUCAAUGGGCGAAACCCUGAAGCAGCAACGCCGCGUGGGGGAUGAAGGUUUUCGGAUUGUAAACCCCUUUUGUUAGAGAAGAUAAUGACGGUAUUUAUCGAAUAAGCACCGGCCAACACCGUGACAGCAGCCGCGGGAAUACGGCGGGUGCAAGCGUUACUCGGAAUCACUGGGCGUAAAGAGCGCGUAGGCGGGAUAGCAAGUCAGAUGUGAAAUCCUAGGGCUUAACCAUAGAACUGCAUUUGAAACUGGUAGUCUAGAGUAGGGGAGAGGUAGGUGGAAUUCUUGGUGUAGGGGUAAAAUGCGUAGAGAUCAAGAGGAAUACUGAUUGCGAAGGCGACCUGCUAGAACAUAACUGACGCUGAUGCGCGAAAGCGUGGGGAGCAAACAGGAUUAGAUACCCGAGUAGUC